rnacentral:lncRNA from 1 species
UAAGUUGUGGGGGGUGUGUGGUUUUUUUUUUUUGUUUUUUUGUUUUGUUUGAAGCUCUUAACAAUUAAUGUUGCUGCUUAGUGUUUGGGUCUGUGCUGCUGUAUGUAUGUGAGCUGUAAUACUCACUGUGAAGGUCUUCAACUUCACUCCUGAAGUCAGUGAGAUCACGAGCCCACCAGAAGGAAGAAACUCCACACACUUCUGAACAGCUGAAGGAACGAACUCCGGACACACCACCUUGUAGAACUGUGACACUCAUGCCUUAAAAAGGAUAUUCUGUCAUGUGUGGCAAGAUGGAUAAACCUGGAGGACAUUACGCUCCAGUGAAACGGGUACUGCAUUUUGAUAAAUUGAAGGUUUGUGG